AUAUUGGUGCAGAGUGACUCUGGCUUCCUUGGCCUGAGCCUGAAUCAGGUCAAUGGUGGAGUAGACACACUGGAGCCGUCCCACUCCACUCUCCACUGCAGCCAUGGAGGCCAUCUCCACAACCUUCAUGGAAAUACCACAGCAGGCAAAGGAGUGUAGUAGUUUGGGGGCACACCAAGCUGGAGUGCUGAAAGAUUGGCAAGGCGAAGAUGGGAAAGUCGCGUCUUGACCAACUGAUCCACCACCUGGCACCUCUCACACACUAACCACCACAGUCGUUCAUGCAAACGGCCGCCGACGUAACUGUGAAAACAUUGAAGUUUAUCUCAAAACUAAUGUAUCUGGAAACCAAAAUCUGCAUGUCUCCCAAUACUCAAGUUAGAUGACAUACCCUAUAAUUAGAACACAACUAAGAAAAUUCUUGGUAACAGUAUAAUAACAUAUUUAAUGACAUAAAAAGUAUAGAAAUAUAGUUCAAUAAUUGGGACAUACUAAUCCAGAGCUCUGAACAAUAGAUCCUGGAAACUAGUGUGGGUUUGGAGAGUUGGGGAGUGUCUUUUGAGGAGGUCCUCCCAGCACUGAAUGAGUAGAUCCUGAAGAACAUUCUGCAUCUGGUCAACAUCAUUGGCUGGGUGAAGAUGCUGAGAGGCAUCUCUAAUUCUUUGCUCCAUCUCACAUAGCACAGAAGAAUUGGUUCAAGAUCCCAAAGCAACACUGUACAUAUACUAAUUCAUUUGGUUAAGAUUUGGUACACAAAUCAACCAGCACCUCCCAAACUAAACUUUUUUUCCUAUUGGGGUUGCCACGGCAGAUCAUCCUUCUCCAAUAUGCUUGGUCUUUGCACCUUCCUCUGUCACACCCACCUUUUGCAUGUCUUCUUUCACUGCAUCCAUAAAUCUCUUUUUUGGUCUCCCUCUCUUUCUUCUACUACUUAUAAUCUCAUCUUGAAAAUAGUUUCAAGCAAACACUAACCAUCUUACAAAUCCAAUGACAAGUCUCUCUACAUUCAACUGCAUACACCUGACUAAAUGUCCACAUGAUGGUGACUACCCAAGACAAACCCACCAGGAAAAGAAAACCAGAGCUGAGUUACAGGUUAGUUUUUAAGAUCUUAGAAGCAAAGAAAGAGAUCUGGGAGUAAUAAAAUUAAUCCUAAAGAAAAGUGAAUACAUGUACAGUAAAUGUUAAUGAAAUUAUAAAUCACUAGUUCGUAAACAUUCCCUUGGCCUAUAAGCUGCUGAGGGCUUAUGGGUAACUGCCGUGUGUGUGUGUGUGUGUGUGUGUGUGUGUGUGUGUGUGUGUGUGUGUGUGUGUGUGUGUGUGUGUGUGUGUGUGUGUGUGUGUGUGUGUGUGUGUGUGUGUGUGUGUGUCUGUCCCUCUCAGUUCCGGAUCUUAUCAGAUGAGAAAAUAUGAAAUUGUCUAUCAAUGCAUUUCAACUAACAUAUACAUACUUCAUUCAAACACUCACCUUCAACUCACCUGUUUUGUGCUAUCACCCAUCACACAUGUGGUGUAUCAUCUACUCCCCUGUAGACUGUGGCUUAACCAUCACUACAUUUGCAAAACCAUGUCUAAUAAUGUAUUGUUCAAAUUUGACAAUUUUAACACCCAGUAGCUUAUUCACUACCCAAGAUUCAUAUUCUACAUCAUAUAAGAAAAGUUUCUUACUGAGCAAAUGAAGUGAUGGAGGAGGCAGGGAGGUGCUGGAUGGCCUUCUC